rnacentral:rRNA from 1 species
GACGAACGCUGGCGGCGUGCUUAACACAUGCAAGUCGAACGGUAAGGCCCUUCGGGGUACACGAGUGGCGAACGGGUGAGUAACACGUGGGUGAUCUGCCCUGCACUUCGGGAUAAGCCUGGGAAACUGGGUCUAAUACCGGAUAGGACCACUGCCUGCAUGGGUGGUGGGGGAAAGCUUUUGCGGUGUGGGAUGGGCCCGCGGCCUAUCAGCUUGUGGGUGGGGUGAUGGCCUACCAAGGCGACGACGGGUAGCCGGCCUGAGAGGGUGACCGGCCACACUGGGACUGAGAUACGGCCCAGACUCCUACGGGAGGCAGCAGUGGGGAAUAUUGCACAAUGGGCGCAAGCCUGAUGCAGCGACGCUGCGUGAGGGAUGACGGCCUUCGGGUUGUAAACCUCUUUCAGCACCGACGAAGCGCAAGUGACGGUAGGUGCAGAAGAAGGACCGGCCAACUACGUGCCAGCCGCCGCAGUAA